GAUGAACGCUGGCGGCGUGCCUAAUACAUGCAAGUCGAGCGAACAGAUGAGGAGCUUGCUCCUCUGACGUUAGCGGCGGACGGGUGAGUAACACGUGGAUAACCUACCUAUAAGACUGGGAUAACUUCGGGAAACCGGAUCUAAUACCGGAUAAUAUAUUGCACCGCAUGGUUCAAUAGUGAAAGACGGUUUUGCUGUCACUUAUAGCUGGAUCCCCGCCGCAUUAGCUAGUUGGUAAGGUAACGGCUUACCAAGGCAACGAUGCGUAGACGACCUGAGAGGGGGAUAGGCCACACGGGAGCUGGGACAGGGUCAAGACGACUAAGGGAGGAAGCAGAAGGGAAUCUGCCGCAAUGGGAGAAAGCAUGACGGAGCAACGCGGAGUGAGUGAUGAAGGUGUUGGGAGCGGAAAAAUGUGUUAUGAGGGAAGAACAAAUGUGGAAGUAACUAUGCACGUAGUGACGGUAACUAAUCAGAAAGCAACGGCUAACUACGUG
rnacentral:rRNA from 1 species